rnacentral:rRNA from 1 species
GCAGUCGAGCGGUAGAGAGAAGCUUGCUUCUCUUGAGAGCGGCGGACGGGUGAGUAAUGCCUAGGAAUCUGCCUGGUAGUGGGGGAUAACGUUCGGAAACGGACGCUAAUACCGCAUACGUCCUACGGGAGAAAGCAGGGGACCUUCGGGCCUUGCGCUAUCAGAUGAGCCUAGGUCGGAUUAGCUAGUUGGUGAGGUAAUGGCUCACCAAGGCGACGAUCCGUAACUGGUCUGAGAGGAUGAUCAGUCACACUGGAACUGAGACACGGUCCAGACUCCUACGGGAGGCAGCAGUGGGGAAUAUUGGACAAUGGGCGAAAGCCUGAUCCAGCCAUGCCGCGUGUGUGAAGAAGGUCUUCGGAUUGUAAAGCACUUUAAGUUGGGAGGAAGGGUUGUAGAUUAAUACUCUGCAAUUUUGACGUUACCGACAGAAUAAGCACCGGCUAACUCUGUGCCAGCAGCCGCGGUAAUACAGAGGGUGCAAGCGUUAAUCGGAAUUACUGGGCGUAAAGCGCGCGUAGGUGGUUUGUUAAGUUGGAUGUGAAAUCCCCGGGCUCAACCUGGGAACUGCAUUCAAAACUGACUGACUAGAGUAUGGUAGAGGGUGGUGGAAUUUCCUGUGUAGCGGUGAAAUGCGUAGAUAUAGGAAGGAACACCAGUGGCGAAGGCGACCACCUGGACUAAUACUGACACUGAGGUGCGAAAGCGUGGGGAGCAAACAGGAUUAGAUACCCUGGUAGUCCACGCCGUAAACGAUGUCAACUAGCCGUUGGAAGCCUUGAGC